rnacentral:rRNA from 1 species
UACGUAGGCAGCAAGCGUUGUUCGGAGUUACUGGGCGUAAAGGGUGUGUAGGCGGUUGCUUAAGUUUGGUGUGAAAUCUCCCGGCUCAACUGGGAGGGUGCGCCGAAUACUGAGUGACUAGAGUGCGGGAGAGGAAAGUGGAAUUCCUGGUGUAGCGGUGAAAUGCGUAGAUAUCGAGAGGAACACCUACGGCGAAGGCGGGUUGCUGGGCUGACACUGACGCUGAUGCGCGAAAGCUAGGGUAGCAAACGGG